UACAGAGGGGCAAGCGUUGUUCGGAAUUACUGGGCGUAAAGGGCGCGUAGGUGGCCUUCUAAGUUGAACGUGAAAUCCCUGGGCUCAACCCAGGAACUGCGUCCAAGACUGGGAGGCUUGAAUCCGGGAGAGGGAUGCGGAAUUCCAGGUGUAGCGGUGAAAUGCGUAGAUAUUGGGAGGAACACCAGUGGCGAAGGCGGCUCACUGGACCGGAACUGACGCUGAGGCGCGAAAGCUAGGGGAGCGAACGGG
rnacentral:rRNA from 1 species